rnacentral:snRNA from 1 species
AUAUACGGUUGUACAUAUACUAUAAAAUUGGAACGAUAUAGGGAAGAUUAGCAUGGCCCCUGCACAUCGAUGAACACUGGGGUCGAUGUAAUGGACUCAU